AUUGAACGCUGGCGGCAGGCCUAACACAUGCAAGUCGAACGAGAGGCGGACGUGUGAGUAAUGUCUGGGAAACUGCCCGAUGGAGGGGGAUAACUACUGGAAACGGUCGCUAAUACCGCAUACUAUCGGAUGUGCCCAGCGGGGAUUAGCUAGUAGGUGGGGUAACGGCUCACCUAGGCGACGAUCCAUAGCUGGUCUGAGAGGAUGACCGGCCACACUGGAACUGAGACACGGUCCAGACUCCUACGGGAGGCAGCAGUAGGGAAUAUUGCGCAAUGGGCGCAAGCCUGAUGCAGCCAUGCCGCGUGUAUGAAGAAUGCCUUCGGGUUGUAAAGUACUUUCAGCGGGGAAGCGGUACUCACAGAAGAAGCAACGGCUAACUCCGUGCCAGCAGCCGCGGUAAUUC
rnacentral:rRNA from 1 species